UACGAAGGGGGCUAGCGUUGCUCGGAAUCACUGGGCGUAAAGCGCACGUAGGCGGAUUGCUAAGUCAGGGGUGAAAUCCUGGAGCUCAACUCCAGAACUGCCUUUGAUACUGAAGAUCUUGAGUUCGGGAGAGGUGAGUGGAACUGCGAGUGUAGAGGUGAAAUUCGUAGAUAUUCGCAAGAACACCAGUGGCGAAGGCGGCUCACUGGCCCGAUACUGACGCUGAGGCACGAAAGCUAGGGGAGCAAACGGG
rnacentral:rRNA from 1 species